GGGUAGACGGGGCCGCGCCCCCAGGGGUAGCCGGUGUAGACGUCGCCGAAUGGGUUGGUACCCCUGCUGUAGGGGAGGCACGGGCGGGUGGUGUCGCAGCUGGUGCAGAGUGUCGAGGCCCACGAAGCAUGCCAUGCACGGGGGGCGGAGGUGCAGGCAGAAGCAGCACCGGGGAGCGCCGAGGUGCAGGCGGCGCGGGUGCAGGCGGUGAAGACGAGCUGGGAGCCUACUGAAAUGGGAAGAUAAACUCGUCAAAGUACACAUGCCGAGAGAUGAUAACUCGCCCAGAAGCCGGAUCGAAACACCGGUAGCCCUUGGUGUUGGGAGGGUAGCUGAAGAAGACGCAUGG
rnacentral:lncRNA from 1 species